CCCACACUGCAACCGCGCAAAAUAAGUUUUAAGUUUUCAUCUGUCUAGGCAGUGAAACGCUUAUCUUUGGCGAGUCUAAGAAACUUU
rfam:Lactobacillus rossiae DSM 15814 Scaffold1, whole genome shotgun sequence.